UUCUCAUAACAAUUCUGUUCGAAUUUGGGGAACUCAAUAACUCAAAUCUAGCAAAGUAAUUGGACAGACUUUAGCAAUGUAUACCAUACUAUUGAAUCAGAUGCCUUCAAAUCUUCAAUUUCGAAUCGGAGGGGCAUAGCCGAGGGUCUUUAAUUUUGUAUGAUUUGAUUCAAAUCUGGAAGCAAGCCCUUCAAAGCAGAGAAUUCGUAUGAUGAUUUGGUUCGAAUUCGAACAGAAUUACACCACCCCUCCCAUUGCAACCACCGUCCAAGAAACCGCCGCUGCAACCACCGCCUCCUCUUGAACCGCCGACAAAGUAGAAGCAGAUCUGGUUUCGAAAUGUACAGAUCGGAACCCUAGCCCCUUUAAGAAUCGAGCCUAGUUGUGGUUCAAGAACCAGUUGGUGGUUCAAGAUCGGUUCCCUUAGACAUUGUUCGACCCCCUCUAGUUGUGGUUCAAGAACCAGUAGAAGCAGAUCUUGUUCAAUCCCCUCUAAAUCGUCGUGUUCUACCAAUUCGGUUCCCUCAGACAUUCCGACCCCCACCAAGGUUCGUCUUCUGCUUCGUCAUCUUCUGGUCGGCUGGUGAUGGUGGCUGGUUUAGGUGAUGGCGGUGGUGCUUGAGAGGGAGAGGAAGAGGAAGAUAGGU
rnacentral:lncRNA from 1 species